CCCGCGCCGGGUGGGGUUACACAGCGGGGGAACCGCGCCGCCGCCAUCUUAAGUGCUGGCAAGCUGCUUCCACCGUGGUGGGGUCGACAUCUUGGGCGAGGCCGUGGGGGGACGCUGCGGUCGCCAUGUUGAGCUCGGGAGGAAGAGAGUAGCGCCAGUUUGUGGAGUUUUCCGUGCCCUGGCGCAGGCAAAUUAAGGCGGUUUCAGCUGAUGUAUCAAUGAUUUGAGUAAGUGUAUGAAAUAAACACACUGCCUGUAACCUCCCCAGACAACAGUCUGAGCCUGAGCACCCUAAAGAGAAGAAUAAAGGCCUUCUGUGGAAAAGACCAAAGCCACAAGCACAACCAUGUACCACAAGAAGAGAGCCAGAAAAAUCAACAGUGUCAGUAAUUAUGCCCUAGAAUAGAAGGAAAUUUGUUAAAUAAAAUUCCCAGAUGAUUUAA